CCUACGGGAGGCAGCAGUAGGGAAUCUUUCACAAUGGGCGAAAGCCUGAUGGAGCAACGCCGCGUGCAGGAUGAAGGCCUUCGGGUUGUAAACUGCUUUUAUAAGCGAGAAAUAUGAUGGUAACUUAUGAAUAAGGAUCGGCUAACUACGUGCCAGCAGCCGCGGUCAUACGUAGGAUCCGAGCAUUAUCCGGAGUGACUGGGUGUAAAGAGUUGCGUAGGUGGCAUAAUAAGUAGCUAGUGAAAUCUGGUGGCUCAACCAUUCAGACUAUUAGCUAAAAUGUUAAGCUCGAGACCGUUAGGGGUAACUGGAAUUUCUAGUGUAGGAGUGAAAUCCGUAGAUAUUAGAAGGAACACCAAUAGCGUAGGCAGGUUGCUGGGACGGUUCUGACACUAAGGCACGAAAGCGUAGGGAGCAAACGGGAUUAGAUACCCGAGUAGUC
rnacentral:rRNA from 1 species